UUACUUUCUGCUGAGAAUCUAUCCAGAUAUCUAUUCAGAUAUGCACGUAUCGAUAAAUUGCCUACAUUAUAUAUAACCUAACUUCGCACUGCAAAAAGCCGACACAGCUUUGUGUGCGCGAAAAUGACUUGUUUUCUUGAUAGUGGGAAAAGCUGGCAAUUCUAAAGAACGUUUUUAUAUACAUCCAUUUUAACAGUCAGCGCCUUAUUAUACACAGCUCUUUGAUUCAAUUGACUUGCUUUAUUGGCAUUAAAUACACAUGUAAUUAUUGCCAAAGCAUGCACACCAAUUAGUUAAAUCAGAAUCUAAUAAUAAUAAUAAUAAGGGAGGUGCCUUGAGGGAGGAAAAGAAGAAGAGCCACUGGCUCACAGAUGGCGCAGGGGCGAGUACCUGUUAAGAAAGCCAUGUGGGCCUUCUUUUAAUGCAUUCACCCCUGGGCCAAAGUUCACCGAUGCACUGACUUUUAGUCCAAGGUAAUCAUAGCUUAGUGUGUGUUCUAGGGCGGUGUUCCCUAGAGUAAAGAAGUAUUUGCUUUCCUAAUCUUUGUAGUUUAAAAAUGUAUUGUCAUGGCCUAGUUCUGACGGUAUUGCUCCAGCAGAUUCAAGUUCUGCUGUGGUUCAGUGGUGACAUUAGGACCAGGUCACUGCAGAGAGUAAGAAUUUAAUUUCCAUGUUAUGCAGAGCGAGGCCAGGUACCGAAGACUGUUCCAGUAACACUGCUAAAUCAUUGAUAUAGAUCAUGAAAAAUGUUGGACUGCAGCCCUGCAUUACUCCACACCCUUGUGAGAAGAAAUGUGUUAUUUUUUGCCAAGUUUUAUUCUGUACUUGUUUAUUUAUAUAUUGAUUUAAUUGGGUCAUACAUUUUACUCCCUACACCACUUUGCAGGAUUUUAUAAUAUAGACCUUUGUACAAGAUUGAUUGUGAAGUCAAUGAAGCAUGCAAAAAUAUCUAUUUUAUUUUUUGGUAUACAUGUUCAUUAAGAUGUGUAGGGUGUAAAUAUGGUCAGUUGUGUGGUGUUUUGGAAGAAAGUCUCUUACUCAAGACACUGUGUUCUGUAAGGAAGGCCUGUAUUCGCCGGGCAUUAAGAAUACUGCAGAAAACCCAAGAUUACUGCUUACACAGAUGCCUCUGUAUUUAUUGCAAUCAAGUGAAUUGAGUAACUUACGUAAGGCCUUCUGCAGCUCAGGGGUGCUGUAUUUAAGCAUUGCUGUUCUGAUACUGUCAGGACCACAGGCUUUUCUAAGUUAUAGUUUUUGAAUUAUUUCAGUUAGUUCUUAUUUAGUUGUCCGGUGGAUUCUGGUUGUCCUUGAUUGUUGAUUCAAAUAUUUUCAUUUUUUCUUAAAGGCAUACUAUGCUGGUUUUUUUUUAGCCUUGCUCUGGUCCUGUGUUUACAAUUAAAGUAGUCUCCUUCAUUGUCUUUAACCCUGUCGACUCACCCCAUUCUUCCAUGCUGCCAGAAGCCAUUUGAGGGCUGUGUUUCUGUAUUUCUGGACUGUCCAGUUCUUUUUAGGCAGGCAUUGAUUUAACGGGUCUGAAAGCAGGGUUUGUGUCUAACACUGAAGACACUAAUGAAAGGGGGGGGGGGGGUCCAUGUCGUGAUAGCAUAGUCAAUCACACUUGUCUCAAGAGCUGAACAGUAAGUGAACCCGCCUAAGGAGUCCCCUCUGAUCCUACCAUUAAGAAUGUACAGGUCUAAGGGUCAACAGAGAUGCUCUAGCUAUCUAAAAUUUCUGUUCCGAGCACAGUCAGGGCUUUCUCUCUGUAUUGUUGGUGAUAUGAGGUGCAAAGGUUUUUGUCCAAAUACAGUGAGCUCCAUAAUGUUUGGGACAAAUACUUUUUUUUUAUUUGGCUCUGUACUCCACAGUUUAAAAUUUAAAAUUUGUAAUCAAACAAUUCACCUAUGGUUAAAGUGCAGAGUCUCAGCUUUUAGUAAAGGGGUAUGCAUUUUGGUUUCAUAAUGUAGAAAUGACUGCACUUCCUAUACCUAGCCCCCUCAUUUUAGGGCACCAUAACGUUUUGGACAAAUGGCAUUACAGGCAUUUCUGAUGAGUCAGGUGUGUUCAAUUGCUUUCUUAGUGCAGAUAUAAAACAGCUUUCAGUAUCCCAUCUUGAUUCUAUGCUUUUGAUGGCUUUUGCCUUCUAUUAAAGCCAUUACUCAACAUGAGGACCAAAGUUGUGCCCUGACAGAUCAGAGACACUCUUCAGGAGGCAGACGUAGAUGUGUCCGUUUUUGUGAAGUGGUGUCCUAUCCAAUAUAUUUGCCACAAUAUAAGAAUUAAAUCGUGCCUUUUUCCUCCUUGCAGAUGGAAUAUUUAACCUCAUUUGUUAAGCAAACUAAGGAUAAAUUGUUUGGACAGAAAGGCAGCCAAAUAAAAGAUGGGGAAACUAGUAACACUCGGUAGGCUAGCUAGCUAGCUGCUUUGUUACUAGGUUCCCCACAUUUCAUAGGUAGUUUCCUUAUAUUGUAUUUGGCUGCAUUUCUGACCCAACAAUGUAUCCUUAGUUUGGCAAAUGAGACUUAAUUCUUCUAUCAUGGUGGAGCUGCUCUCUCAGUGCCUGUUACUCUGUGCUGGAGGUUUUCUCCCUGAGUUUUAGGUUCUCCUUUAUGCUGGCCUGCUGAAAGAGUCUCAUUCUCCUCCUGGAGCUCUUUCACCGCCGCCAUUAUUUCAUUUACAACAGCCCUUCCCUCCCUCUCCAUCUGGCAAACCUCAUCUCCUGGCUGUGGGAGGGGCUGUGUUCAGACAUGAGCUGUGUUCUGGCCAUGGAGAACUCCUGGAACUCUGCACAGUCCUGCUCCAGCAGGGCCGGGCUGAAUGUGUUCCAUGUAGCUGGGAGCAUAGCAGCAGUACUGGGGGAAACAGGGUUUGCUGGUGUUGGCUGCCAGUGGUUUGUCCUGUUGUUAUGACUGGAUAUUGUUAGGGUUGGUAGCUGCAGGUUUUCCUUUUAGAGGAAGGAGAUCAUCCUCAGAGGAGUCCAGGCUGGCCCCACUGCCCUGAAUUAGAACUGCACGGUUACGGUACUCAUUUGUACAAGAAUAAUAUCGCUGAACAACAUAUUGUAAACCUUUUGUUUGGACCAUUGCUAAUGUAAAAUGCUUAUCCCACAAUGCUAAAAUGUAUAUACAGAAAUUUACAUUAUUUUUAUAUGCAAUAAAAUCUCUCUCUCUCUCUCUCUCUCUCUCUCUCUCUCUC